GGCCGGUUUGUGUAGCUGGCUAGCACUACCAUACCCAAAAGCUGGUCUUUUCGGUAUGUCAAGGCUGGGUUCGAAUCCCAGGCCGGCCA